rnacentral:rRNA from 1 species
GACGGAGGAUGCAAGUGUUAUCCGGAAUCACUGGGCGUAAAGCGUCUGUAGGUGGUUCGAAAAGUCCACUGUUAAAAAUUGAGGCUUAACUUCAAAGAUGCCGUGGAAACUUUCAAACUAGAGUAUGGUAGGGGUAGAGGGAAUUUCCAGUGGAGCGGUGAAAUGCGUAGAGAUCGGGAGGAACACCAGUGGCGAAGGCGGCCGGCUGGGGGUGCCCUGACGCUGAGGCGCGAAGCGUGGGGAGCG